GGCGCCGUCCAGGGCCAGGUGCACCUGGCCGUCGCUGGCGGUGGCGGUGCUGCCGUUGAAGUAGGAGCCGGCGGCCAUCUUCAGGUCGAUGACGCCGCC
rnacentral:tRNA from 1 species